GUGGGGAAUAUUGGACAAUGGGCGAAAGCCUGAUCCAGCCAUGCCGCGUGUGUGAAGAAGGUCUUCGGAUUGUAAAGCACUUUAAGUUGGGAGGAAGGGUAGUAACCUAAUACGUUGCUACUUUGACGUUACCGACAGAAUAAGCACCGGCUAACUUCGUGCCAGCAGCCGCGGUAAUACGAAGGGUGCAAGCGUUAAUCGGAAUUACUGGGCGUAAAGCGCGCGUAGGUGGUUCAGUAAGUUGGAAGUGAAAUCCCCGGGCUCAACCUGGGAACUGCUUUCAAAACUGCUGAGCUAGAGUACGGUAGAGGGUGGUGGAAUUUCCUGUGUAGCGGUGAAAUGCGUAGAUAUAGGAAGGAACACCAGUGGCGAAGGCGACCACCUGGACUGAUACUGACACUGAGGUGCGAAAGCGUGGGGAGCAAACAGGAUUAGAUACCCUUGUAGUCC
rnacentral:rRNA from 1 species